UUUUUGUUUUCAAGGCAUGGAAACUGUGGACGGAAGAGAGGGCAUUGGAGCUUCUUGACAAUAUGUCAGAUCGCCCGUAUUCUGUAUCUGAAGUAUUGAGAUGCAUUCAUGUGGGUCUGCUAUGCGUGCAACAAAAGCCGGAAGACAGACCAAAUAUGUCAUCUGUGGUUUUGAUGUUGGGCAGUGAGAAUUCAUUGCCUGACCCAAAGCAACCUGGUUUUUUCACGGAAAGGAAUAUGCCCGCAGUGGACUCUUCAUCAGGAAAUCAUGAAUCAUCGUCUAUAAAUGACCUAACUAUUUCAGAGCUAGAUGCACGGUAGAAGAUUGGCUCUGAUGGUUAAAAGGAAGAGCUAUAUAUAUAUAUAUAUAUGUAUGUAUAUUCUAGCCAAAUCCAAGGCAUAUAACAGAAAUUAAAUAUUUUCUGCUAUAAUUAUGUUGAUGUAUUAUUUUUACCUGUCUACAAGUCCUCUGCAAGUACUAGUGCGAAUACAGAUAGACAGAAUGCUUGAGGAUUCACAUCUCUGGACUGCACAAUAUCUGUACUUGUUUGCUUCGAGCCGUCGAAUUUAAUGCACGGAUCUGGGUUCAAGAUCUAUAUAUGCUAGAGCCUCACUGGCUUCUAACCCAAAAAGAAUCCAUUAGAAUUGUCAAUAUAUAAUUAGUAAAAAAAAAUUACAUACAAUUUAAACAAUCCAAAUUUAUAAUUCAAAUUUACAUUAUAUUUUUCAUAACAUGUUAAAAAAAUAUAUUUUUAACAACCAUACAAGGAGCUAUAGUCUUUCCUUGAUUGAUUUCAUAGCACCUUAAACUUAGCCUUGACCUAACCCUUUUAGGGAUAAAUAUUAUAGGUACGAGUACCUUGAUGAUACUUAGCCUUUGUAGGGGAAUCCGACCGGUGAUGUUUUGAUAUUUGCUCAUAGUAGGCUAAGCACACUAACACAAUAUUUAACGUGGUUCGACAAACCGCCUACAUCCACGGGAGAAACCAUUUGAUUAUAUAGGGAGAGAACAAGAUUUACAACAGUAGAGGAGGAGGAAUCAUCCCCUCUUUGGCAACUCUCAACCUCACUCUAUUUUUCUCUUCUCAAUGCUGCAUUGGCAGCUACUGCUGGCUGCCUUGGCAGCCCACUCUCUCUUACAUUUCUCUCAUAUUUGGCUCUACUUUCACUCUCAUUUUGCUCUCUAAAAUCAUGCCUCUUUUAUAGGCAUCAAUGGCAGCUCCUCUUGCUCCUUUGUCAGCAAUGGUGGCUUCCAAACUUACCAAACUUUGACAAUAGACAAUGGUUGUUGGCUGCCACCAACAACCCACCAUUAUAGCCUCAUUCUUUGACUCUCACAUAGCAGUCAUCUUCUUUGACAUAGGCAGCCACAUAAUUGGCAAUAUUCCAACAAUCACCCCCUUUGCCAUUUAUGUGGGGCAACUAUCCUCUUGCUUCUUCAGCACAUGCUUGCAUCUUGCAGCUUUUCCAAGCUUACCAUUCAACCAGAUGGUUUGUCACAUCUCAUCUGAAGAGUGUUUAAUGCUUGUCUCUGGAACAACAUUCCCCUUCAAGCAUAUCAACCAUGCUUGGCCUGGAAUGAUUUAUCAAGCCUUACAUCAAGGCUUACAACACCCCCUCAAACUGAUAUUCCCAAGUGCGAUAGUCAUUGAGUAUUUUAAUGUGAUCACGAGCUCACCACUCUUCCAAGAGCCUACUCAUCCAGGAGUUGCGUCUGCCCUCUAUUCCACCCUAGGAACCACGCCUUACUUCUCCGUGAGUCUCUCACUCUUAGUCUCAAGAGUCCGGGUAGCAUCCACCUUUACUUAUGGGGGCAGCCCAUUAAAGGUUGAUCCAUAUCUAUCUUCAUACUCUGAGUAUUACAAUGCUUUCACCGAGCUCACCACCUUGACAAGAGUCAACUUGUUCCCGGAACCUGCGCAUGCCCUCUGCUCCUUCAUAGCAGUCGCGUCUUAAUGCUCCACAAGUCACCCACUUAUUGUCCAAGGUAAAUGUCUUCUAGCUCAUUGAUCUUUAGCAUGGGGGCAAUAUCCAUGAAAGUCAAUCCUGCAUUUGUCUUCAUACUCAUCAUAGACUCUUCAUUGGCUAUACACUUGUCCACUUAUAUCCAGCCAUCAUAUUGGCUCUAGGGCUGGGCUCUUUUCAUGGCCCUCACACCUUCUCGUGAGGUGUCUCCGCUCGUCGUCAUGCGAUAGUCUGAAUCUGGGCUAAUAUUAUAGCCCUCACACCGUCCAUCCGAGGUGUCUCCGUUCAUCGUCAUGCGGCUUCAUGUCCCUCACACCUUCUCCGAAGGUGUCUUCGCCCGUUGUCAUGGGGCAGUCUGAUCUUGGGCUCAUAUCAUGGCCCUCACACCUUCUGUCUGAGGUGUCUCCGCCUAUCGUUAUGAGACGGCCUGAACAUGGACUCAUAUCAAGGUCCUCACACCUUCUGUCCAAGGUAUCUCCGCCUGUCGUCAUGAGACGGUCUGAACAUGGACCCAUAUCAUGGUCCUAACACCUUUCGUCUGAGGUGUCUCCGCCUGUUGUCAUGAGACGGUCUGAAUCUGGGCUCAUAUUAUAGCCCUCACACCUUCCAUCCGAAGUGUCUCCGCUCAUCGUGGAGCGGUCUGAAUCUAGGUUCAUAUCAUGGCCCACAAACCUUCCUCUAAGGUGUCUCUGCCCGUUGUCAUGGGACAGUCUGAUCUUGGACCCAUAUCAUGGUCCUCACACCUUCUGUCUAAGGUGUCUCUGCCUGUUGUCAUGAGACGGCCACAUCCUCCUUCAUCGGGGAUGUCUCUAGUGGCUCUAAGAUUCUCUACCACCAUGUGGACUUGGGAGAGAUUACUGCCACUGAUUACAUAGAAAGAUAAAGUUGUGGCAUACUCCUCGCAAUCCUCCACCUCGAUUUCUAUGUCUGGAGCUUCUACGCCUUUCUACUUGAUAGCUCCACCUACACCACUCUCUUUAGUGUCUUCGCCUUUCAUCAUAGGCGGUCACCUUUGUCACAGGCGUUUGCACCCCCUCAAUUAGGUGCCUCUGCAACAGCUCAUCUUUCCAUCAUUGCAUGCAUUGGAAAGGUCCUCGCUUGUUGCCUUCAUCAAGAGCACAAGAGAUUUCUUGUUGUAUAACUUUUUCACACCGUCUCUACUCUAAGCUUCAUCUGGGAACUCUUAUUCUCCUUGCACCUACUGUCUCAUUACAGUACCUCGUUGGAUCCUACGGGUACUCCUGCACAAUCUCCGUGUGCUCUCGUGCAAUUCCGGUUCUCUAGAUUUCUCCCUAUUUUUUGCUUUUAUGUUUGACAACAGCUCAUCCUGUCACAACAUUUAUCCAAGUCAAAAUAGGGUGCCAAUCUUUAUCCCCUUGUUGUAUUUCUCUUCCAUUAUCAGGGUCUUCAUUAAUUCUCCCUUCGAGAAAUUACAGUCACCGAAUCUAACUUCUUUGGAGAAAUCACCACUCCAUUAGAUCCUUGAACAUACGGAACCCAACUGUUCCUUUAUGUCGUCAUCUUGCUAGUCUUCAACAGUUUCAUUACAAACUGUUACAUAUACAAAAAUAGUACUGUGUGGAUGAUCCUUCAACUAAGCAAGUUCCCAGGAAAGAUUUGGAGGGGUCACACUGGUCCCGUGAUUAGUACUUAAAAGUGCAUGUUUAUCAAGGUUUUAUAUCAUCAUUUUGCACUUGAAGUAUCAAUAACUCCUUAACUAAAGCAUGUUUUAUAAUAACAAGUUUGAUACUAUAAGAUACCUUAAUUUAUGGUAAAUGCUCAUCUUAUAUGCAGGCCUAUCACAUAAAUAAAAUGAUUGAUUGAUGAGUUUAAGUAUUGAAAGUGAAAGGACAAAGAGAUGGCCAAACUUAGAAAAGAGAUGUCGGUGCAGUCCAAACCAGAACAUUGCUCGGUAAUUGGAUCAUAUUUGGAGCUCUAGAUCUCAGAUUUAGGUCCAUUUUAUAUGGAUGGAAAGGUAAUACAAAGGCCUACAACUUUCAUGAGGAGCCUAAGAUUUAAAAAGGUCGUUUUGAAGUCCAAAUUGAAGGAACAACGAAGAAGUCCGAAGCUGUCCUGCAGCCCAGACACUAUUUAGUGUUCAACCCAUAUCUUGAGUUCUAGAAGUCCAAAUGACCUCAUCUUUUUUUUUUUGGAAAGCUGAGACAAUUUCCUAGAACAUUCCUGAGGAUUCUGGGCAAAUUAUUAUGUUAGAAAUGACGUUUUGUUCAGACAAGAAGAUAAGGAUUGUCACCAAGUCAAGAUGUGGCCACCCACUCAUCAAUUAGUCAACAAAUCAAUAGUUCUAAAUUUUGGCCUAUAAAAGGAGGCACUUACCAUGUAUUGAGGCAUCUUGGUUUCCAGAUCAAGAUCAUGCUCUUGCUUUCUCUCUUUGUAUUGCUUAUGUCUUGCUUUCAUUAAUAUCAAGUUUAUGCACUUCAUUUUCUUUCCUUUACUUAGUUAACUUCUUUCUCAUUUAUGUUCUUAUCUUGUUCAUUUAUGUUUCUUUCUUUCAUUAUGUUCAGCUAAGUUAAUUAUGUCAAGGUGAAAAGGGUACACUAAUGGUGUAAGAAUAAGUAUAAUAUAAACUUAACAUGGACCUUAACGUUGGAUACUAACAUGUUUUAUAUUUGUUAUCUUGUUCACUUUUAAUACUUUGCUUGUUAAAUGGUUAAUCUAGAUUUAUGUUAUAUAACAUUUGGUACAACAAAUACUUGGUACUUUCAUAGCCCAUACUGUAUGGUAUAACCGACACCUGAGCUAUAAAAGGAACUUGAUUUGUUGUUAACAUAAGUUAUAAUCAUGAAUGCCUGCCAACAUUUACAAGUAUUAGCUUUAUUCGAAUAAGAUAACUAAUGUAAUCAUGUUAACAAUUUAUAAUCUGAUUGGAACCUCCUUUAUGUGUGGUUUCCAAUUGAGUAAUAAGAGUUUAUACUAUACUUGUUUGAAAUACCAUUAGUGGAUCCUCUAACCUUGACAUUUGUUGUUGUUAUUGUUUAAUCCUUACGUUAAUCUUUCAUCUCAAAGUUCUCAUUAAUUUCUUCAUCUUCUGCUUUUAUUAUUAUUAUUAUUAUUAUUAUUAUUAUUAUUAUUUACAUUCUGUUUAUAUUAUAUAAUAUAUAUCUUUGAUCUUUUCAUAAACUCAGUAUAUAGGCUGGAAACCUGUGACCCGAUCUUUUAGAUUAUUCUCAGGUAUAACAACGCCACGUACUAAGUAUUAUAAUUAUUAUUGUUGUUAUUAUUGUUGUUGUUGUUAUUGUUGUUGUAUUGUUAUUUAUAAUUUAUACAAUUAAUCUCUAUGUGGUUCGACCCCGGUUUUGCCGGGUUAUUUAUUACUUCGACACUCCUGCACUUGGGAAAAGACAUCAAGCUUUAGGUCGUGUCAAGUUUUUGGCGCCGUUGCCGGGGAGGUAAAUUCUUGUAUAAAUUAUAAUUUUUAUUUCUUUUUAUUUUUUUCAUUUUAUUUAAUUUUGUUUCUUUUCUUUUCUUGCUUUUAUUCUCUUUUUACACGUGCAUGAGAGUUUGGUCACGUAUAUUAAGUGGUCGACUUUGUAGGGUAUCCUCAUCAUUUUUAGAAAAUAUGGCUGAAGAAGAUAAUCAAUCGCUUCAUAAUGAGAAUAAUGAGAAUAACCGUAUGAGAACACUUAGAAAUCACAUGAAUCCCACAAGAACAAGUGCACCCUCAUGCAUAGUUUUCCCUUUCCUUUCCUGGUAUGAUACAAGCAUGAGGCUAGUAGAAUGCAAGGACAAGUGUCUAAAAAACUACAAUUGCACGGCAUAUGCAAAUUCAAAUAUCACAGGAGAAGGCAGUGGCUGCAUACUCUGGUUCGGUGAAUUGGCUGAUAUGAGAGAGUUUAGUUAUGGGGGCCAAGACCUCUACAUAAGGAUGCCACCACCUUUGAAAACAGGUAUUUUUCAAUAUUCUUCCCAUGAUUCUCAAGCAGGGUAUUUUUUUUCACUCUUUCUCUCUGUUUCUUUGUUUUUUUUUUUGAAAUGAGGAAGUUGUAUGUUCCUUGAAUGUUUUCCUAACUUCGUGUCCUCAUUUCCUCAUUCUAUUUACAAAUAAAACAGAACUCCUUUCUGUGUUUAUUGUGGGUUUUCAGAUCAGGCGACGUCAAACACAAAUUCUGGUAAGAAGAAGCUUUCAGGAAUCAUACUCGGUUCCACACUCCUUGCUGGAGUGCUUAUGGUAGGACUAAUCUUCUAUAUAUGGAGAAAGAAGCAGAAAAAGCAAGGUAGUGUACUGUGGACAAUUCUUCUUAUUCCAGAACAUGGACCUUGUUGAUAUAUAUAGUAUGCAUGGUAGAAUUUUAUGUUAGUCAUCGAUAACAAAAUGAAGCAUUUGUUAGAUCAUUGCUGACAACUGAUCAAUCUUCUGCUAUUCAGAAAUAGAGGAAGACAUGGAGUUGCCAUCGUUUCAUUUGGCCACCAUAGUGAAAGCAACGGAUAACUUUUCAAGCAACAACAAGUUGGGACAAGGUGGUUUUGGACCGGUAUAUAAGGUAUAUAACAACGUGCUUCAAAGCUGAGAGAUCAUCUACUAUGAGAUAUUCUAACUUCAGUAAAUAACGAUUCCCAGGGUACAUUGAUUGAUGGGCAAGAAAUAGCAGUGAAAAGACUCUCAAAAAGUUCUCGGCAAGGAUUGACAGAGUUCAAGAAUGAAGUUAUCUUGAUAGCUAAGCUUCAGCACAGAAAUCUUGUUAAACUUCUUGGCUGUUGCAUUCAAGGAGAUGAAGUAAUGUUGAUCUAUGAAUUCAUGCCCAACAAAAGCCUAGAUUGUUUUAUUUUCGGUUUGUACCCCAUGAACUGGUUAGAGUUUCUUGCAGUUAGAUUGCUUGUUCUAUGAUGUUUCAUUUAUACAUCAGAAUAACAUAACAUUAUGAUAAAUUGAUUAGAUCAAACAAGAAACAAAUUCCUGGACUGGCAGAGACGUAACCUCAUUAUCGGUGGCAUUGCUAGAGGACUACUUUAUCUUCAUCAAGACUCUAGACUAAGGAUUAUCCAUAGAGAUCUCAAAGCCAGCAACAUAUUAUUAGAUAAGGAUAUGAACCCCAAAAUUUCAGAUUUUGGAAUGGCUAGACUGUUUGGAGGAGACCAAAUUGAAGCAAACACAAAUAAAGUGGUCGGAACAUAGUAAGUACACUCUACACCUAUUUUGUUACAAUGUAUAAUCUCCGCACAUUUAAACUUUUUCUGAAAAUGUUUUUCCGCAGUGGAUACAUGUCCCCUGAGUACGUUGUUGAUGGGCGUUUCUCACUGAAAUCCGACGUCUUCAGCUUCGGUGGUUUAGUCUUGGAGAUAAUAAGUGGGAAGAAAAAUAGAGGAUUCUCCCACCCGGAUCAUUGCUAUAAUCUUCUUGGACAUGUAAGGAUAAAAUUAAACAUGUUAAUUUAAUUUAAUUAUGUAUUAACAAUUUUUCUCAUGACAAGUUUUUUGUUUUCCAGGCAUGGAAACUGUGGACGGAAGAGAGGGCAUUGGAGCUUCUUGAAAAUAUGUCAGAUCGCCCGUAUUCUGUAUCUGAAGUAUUGAGAUGCAUUCAUGUGGGUCUGCUAUGCUAUGGUUUUGAUGUUGGGCAGUGAGAAUUCAUUGCCUGACCCAAAGCAACCUGGUUUUUUCACGGAAAGGAAUAUGCCCGCAGUGGAGUACUCUUCAUCAGGAAAUCAUGAAUCAUCAUCUAUAAAUGACCUAACUAUUUCAGAGCUAGAUGCACUGUAGAAGAUUGGCUCUGAUGGUUAAAAGGAAGAGCAUAUAUAUAUAUAUAUAUAUAUAUAUAUAUUUCUAGCCAAAUCCAAGGCAUAUAACAGAAGUUAAAUAUUUUCUGCUAUAAUUAUGUUGAUGUAUUAUUUUUACCUGUCUACAAGUCCUCUGCAAGUACUGUUGCGAAUACAGAUAUACAGAAUGCUUGAGGAUUCACAUCUCUGGACUGCACAAUAUCUGUACUUGUUUGCUUCGAGCCAACGAAUUUAAUGCACGGAUCUGGGUUCAAGAUCUAUAUAUGCUAGAGCCUCACUGGCUUCUAACCCAAAAAGAAUCCAUUAGAACUUCUUACUAGAUUU
rnacentral:lncRNA from 1 species